rnacentral:rRNA from 1 species
UGAAUACGAGAUGCUACGGCGUCGAAGCAGUCUAUGUCAUACUUCCAAGAAAAGCUUGCACUGUCAUAAACAAAUAAUGCCUGUACCAUAACCGACACAGGUGGGUAGGUAGAGUAUACUAAGGGGCGCGAGAUAACUCUCCCUAAGGAACUCGGCAAAAUGACUCCGUAACUUCGGGAGAAGGAGUGCCUUAUUUAUAAGGUUGCAAUAACAAGAUCCAAGCAACUGUUUACCAAAAACACAGGUCUCCGCUAAGUCGUAAGACGAUGUAUGGGGGCUGACGCCUGCCCAGUGCCAGAAGGUUAAAGAAGUUGGUUAGCAUCCGCGAAGCUGAUAACUGAAGCCCUAGUGAACGGCGGCCGUAACAAUAACGGUCCUAAGGUAGCGAAAUUCCUUGUCGGGUAAGUUCCGACCCGCACGAAAGGCGUAAUGAUUUGGAUACUGUCUCGGAGAGGGGCUCGGUGAAAUAGACUUGUCUGUGAAGAUGCGGACUACCUGCACCAGGACAGAAAGACCCUAUGAAGCUUUACUGUAACCUGAAAUUGAAAUUGGACUUUACUUGCGCAGUAUAGGUGGGAGGCGUUGAGAAUAUUCUUGCGGGAUUAUUGGAGCCAUCAGUGAGAUACCACUCUUGUAAUGUUAGAUUUCUAACUUUGUAUCAUUAUCUGGUCAAAGAACAGUUUCAGGCGGGCAGUUUGACUGGGGCGGUCGCCUCCUAAACGGUAACGGAGGCGCACAAAGGUUUCCUCUGAACGGGUAGAAAUCGUAUCUAGAGUGUAAAGGCAUAAGGAAGCUUGACUGUGAGACCUACAAGUCGAGCAGGGACGAAAGUCGGUCUUAGUGAUCUGACGGUGCUGAGUGGAAAGCCGUCACUCAACGGAUAAAAGUUACUCUAAGGAUAACAGGCUGAUCUCCCCCAAGAGUUCACAUCGACGGGGAGGUUUGGCACCUCGAUGUCGGCUCAUCGCAUCCUGGGGCGGUAGUACGUCCCAAGGGUUGGGCUGUUCGCCCAUGAAAGCGGUACGCGAGCUGGGUUCAGAACGUCGUGAGACAGUUCGGUCCAUAUCCGGUGUAGGCGUUAGAAUAUUGAGAGGAGCCUUCUUUAGUACGAGAGGACCGAGAAGGACAUACCUCUGGUGUACCAGUUAUCGUGCCAACGGUAAACGCUGGGUAGCUAUGUGUGGAGUGGAUAACCGCUGAAAGCAUCUAAGUGGGAAGCCCACCUCAAGAUAAGUAUUCUCA